rnacentral:lncRNA from 1 species
UGGCAUUUUCCUCACCAGGGAGCUAUGGUGCAUUACUCACAAGUGACAGAAACCAACGAGCUUCGCCUCCCAAGGGGCUAGUGCAUCCGUUUAAAGGGAGCAAGCGCCAUGCAGAUCUGCCCCCGCCGCGUCCCCAGCAGAGAGCAGGGUGGAGUUUUGUGUGUGAACUGACAACCCAAGAGGGGCAUUCCGGUCAGUGCCUGCCUUGUCUCACAGCUGGAUCUCACGACGCACAUCUGGAGCGCAGCCGCAAAACGCUCCUAGGCGGUGUCUGUGCUCACGUGAGAAGUAGACUCAAAUGGAUCAGUACUGUUUCAGCAAAUACUGUGAAGCUUCUGAUAUGGGCCAGGAAUUUUGAAAACGGAGUCUAG